CAAUAGCGUAUAUUUAAGUUGCUGCAGUUAAAAAGCUCGUAGUUGGAUUUCUGGUGGGAGCGAUCGGUCUGGCGCUUAGCGCGAGUACUUGCAUCGUCUCCGGCCAUCCUUGGGGAGAGUCUGUCUGGCAUUAGGUUGUCGGGCAGAGGAUCCUCAUCGUUUACUGUGAAAAAAUUAGAGUGUUCAAAGCAGGCUUAUGCCGUUGAAUAUAUUAGCAUGGAAUAAUAAGAUAGGACUUUGGUACUAUUUUGUUGGUUUGCGCACCAAAGUAAUGAUUAAUAGGGACAGUUGGGGGUAUUCGUAUUCCGUUGUCAGAGGUGAAAUUCUUGGAUUUACGGAAGACGAACUACUGCGAAAGCAUUUACCAAGGAUGUUUUCAUUAA
rnacentral:rRNA from 1 species